AUGCUAGAUUUCCAACAUUGAGCUAUUAUGAAAGCUGAAAUACCUUUUAAGUAGUGAUAUAAUUUGAAGAAUAGUCUGAUAAUACUCUGCUUUCUUCUGAGUAUUGGCAUGUUUGUUUUACAGUAGACAAAGCCGAAGAACCUGCAGUUACUUGAUUUACCUUUCCCUUUGUGCUCUCUUUUGUUCUUUUAGGAGAUUUGACCCAGUUGAUUAAAGUACACAACUUAAGCAACGAUGAAAUAUGAGAUGAGAAACUGUGCUUUGACAGAUGGUGCAAGGAGACCCCCUUAAUGCCUUAAUCUUGACUUUCAAAACCAACUCAAUGUAUUUGAAUUCUAUAUGUAGGCAUAAACUGUUUCGGCAAACUCAGUGUUGUUCUUGUCAUGACCCAUCUCUACCAACCCUAUUCCUUUAGAAUUUAUGUGUAUUUUUAAGGGAAAUGUUUUAUUUGUCUCACUUCGUGCAUUUUUCAAUAUUACCCUUCCUACUCACUGAACUCAUUUUAUCAAGUAAACACCCACUUCAUAACGAUCGCUAUAUUUACUCCAUUGAAUAAUCACCCAACUCCUCUUAAAAUGUUUCCUUUUUUCUUCAUAUGCAAUCUCUCACUAUUGCGUGCCUCAGCACUAGUUGAAUAAAUACUAGAAGACUUAUGCCGCCCAAGGCACGAGCUGAAUAAGUGAAUAAUUAACUUCCUUCUCUACUAACAAAUGAAAAAAGUAGCCUUUUUCUCACAUAGAUCUACUGAUAUUUGGGAACUAGAUGAAUGUUUGAUUGAAGGCCAGCUCACGUUUGUCAAAUUUUGGCUUCCAUCUUUGUAGGUGACUUCACCAUAUGGCAACAAUCUACACCACAAGGAGAAUGUCACUCAUGGUCAAUUUGCAUUCACAACUACCGAAGCUGGCAACUACCUGGCCUGUUUCUGGGCGGAUGGUCAUAAUCAAGGAAGUGGAGAAAUAAGUGUCAGUAUUGAUUGGAAAACUGGAAUUGCUGCGAAGGAUUGGGAAUCAGUUGCAAGGAAAGAGAAGAUUGAGGGCGUUGAGCUUGAGCUCAAGAAACUUGAAGGAGCUGUGGAGGCCAUACAUGAAAAUCUGUUGUACUUGAAGAGCAGAGAAGCAGAGAUGAGAAUGGUGAGCGAAAAAACCAAUGGUAGAGUUGCCUGGUUCAGUAUAAUGUCCCUGGGUCUAUGCAUUGUUGUUUCAGCCUUGCAGAUUUGGUACUUGAAGCGAUUCUUUCAAAAGAAGAAGCUUAUUUAAGCGGAGACUAGCCACGUCACUGGUUAAAAGUGGAUUCCUGAGACUUUUUGAUUAUUUGUUGCUAUCGUAGUGUAGGAGGAGAAAAAUUUUGACACAGCAAAGGACUAGAUUUCACUGUUAUAACAAGUAAAAAUUAUCCUCAUAUCCUGCAGCAAUGCACUCGUUUGUGGAGGCCCAA